rnacentral:rRNA from 1 species
CCUACGGGAGGCAGCAGUGGGGAAUUUUGGACAAUGGGCGCAAGCCUGAUCCAGCAAUGCCGCGUGAGUGAAGAAGGCCUUUGGGUUGUAAAGCUCUUUUGUCAGGGAAGAAACGGUGGAGGUUAAUACCUUCUGCUAAUGACGGUACCUGAAGAAUAAGCACCGGCUAACUACGUGCCAGCAGCCGCGGUAAUACGUAGGGUGCAAGCGUUAAUCGGAAUUACUGGGCGUAAAGCGUGCGCAGGCGGUUGUGCAAGACAGAUGUGAAAUCCCCGGGCUCAACCUGGGAAUUGCAUUUGUGACUGUACGGCUAGAGUGUGUCAGAGGGGGGUAGAAUUCCACGUGUAGCAGUGAAAUGCGUAGAGAUGUGGAGGAAUACCGAUGGCGAAGGCAGCCCCCUGGGAUAACACUGACGCUCAUGCACGAAAGCGUGGGGAGCAAACAGGAUUAGAUACCCCGGUAGUCCACGCCCUAAACGAUGUCUACUAGUUGUCGGGUCUUUAUUGACUUGGUAACGCAGCUAACGCGUGAAGUAGACCGCCUGGGGAGUACGGUCGCGAAGAUUAAAACUCAAAGGAAUUGACGGCUGAGAGAGCGACGACGACGACGAGGGAGGAGG